rnacentral:rRNA from 1 species
GACGAACGCUGGCGGCGUGCUUAACACAUGCAAGUCGAACGGAAAGGCCUGCUUUCCCCUGUGGAUUGCGGGUACUCGAGUGGCGAACGGGUGAGUAACACGUGAGUGAUCUGCCCCCAACUUGGGUAUAAGCCUGGGAAACUGGGUCUAAUUCCCGAUAGGACUGCAGGGUGGUGCCUGUGGUGGAAAACGAUUUUCUAGUGGUUGGGGAUGAGCUCGCGGCCUAUCAGCUUGUUGGUGGGGUAAUGGCCUACCAAGGCGGCGACGGGUAGCCGGCCUGGGAGGGUGGACGGCCACAUUGGGACUGAGAUACGGCCCAGACUCCUACGGGAGGCAGCAGUGGGGAAUAUUGCACAAUGGGCGGAAGCCUGAUGCAGCGACGCCGCGUGGGGGAUGACGGCCUUCGGGUUGUAAACUCCUUUCGACCGCGAGGAAGCCACCUGGUUGGAAGGGUGGUGACGGUAGUGGUAGAAGAAGCACCGGCUAACUACGUG